rnacentral:misc_RNA from 1 species
GAAGAGAAAGGUGAAGAGAAAGAAAAGAAGAAGAAGAAAACCAAAACACCAAUAUUGUCAGAAUUGGAUUAGACCUGUCAUUUAAUCUGUUUAACUAGAAACUAGACCAGUUAUCAAUCUGAUUCAAACAAAAAACUCUUGCUCGACAUUUACUUAAAAAAAAUGAAGUUUUAUCCAUUUCAUGAAUUUGUGACUUGAAUAAUCAAUAAUGUCAAUAAUUU